UACGUAGGGGGCAAGCGUUGUCCGGAAUCAUUGGGCGUAAAGAGCGUGUAGGCGGCCCGGUAAGUCCGCUGUGAAAGUCGAGGGCUCAACCCUCGAAUGCCGGCGGAUACUGUCGGGCUAGACGUCCGGAAGAGGCGAGUGGAAUUCCUGGUGUAGCGGUGAAAUGCGCAGAUAUCAGGAGGAACACCGAUGGCGAAGGCAGCUCGCUGGGACGGUACUGACGCUGAGGCGCGAAAGCGUGGGGAGCAAACAGG
rnacentral:rRNA from 1 species